rnacentral:SRP_RNA from 1 species
GGGUGUGGUAGUACACACCUGUAAUCCCAAUUAUCAGGAAGGAUGAGGUUGAUGAAUCUGUUAAGCUUAGGAGUUCUGAGCUGCAGUGGGCUAUGCUGAUUAGAUGGCCACAUUAAGUUUGGCAUUAAUAUGCUGAGUCCCUGGGAUAAGGUGGAUGGGGUGCAUUGUUGCCCAAGUAGGGGCAAACCCACCUAGGUCAGAAAUAGAGUAAGUCAAAGCUUCUGUGACUAUCAGUAGGAAGAUUGGACCUGCCAAUAGCUCCUAUGGUUCCCAGCUUGGACAGGCAAGAUAGAGAGACCCAGUCUUUA